UCAUUUUUAAAGAAGAUAUUAUAUUGUGGUUUAUCUGUCCCUAUCUCACCAUUAUAUAUCCCUAUCUGAACCUCAGCAUACCAUAUGGCAAUGACAUUCUGGACUCUAUGCCUGAGCCUAAUGCCAUAAAGGAAUGAAGCUUUAGCAGUCUUCUGGGAGGGGCAAUGGAAUAUUAGCAGAUGUGACAUGAACAGAAGUUUAUAAAACUACAACAUGAUUGGCCCCGUACUUUUGAACCUAUGGUAGCACAAGAAGGAUAUGCUUAGACUAGCCUGCUGGUCCCACAGGAGGAUAUGAAACAUGUGAGGCAGAGCCAUGCCCAAGUGAACUCGGCUGGUUCCAGAGUAUGAAUGAG